CGAGUUUUUAAUGUAUAAAACUAUUACUGUAAAAAAAAUGCAAGAGUAUGCAAAAUUCGGCUGUUCGCAUUAGGUUUGAAAGUAACGUUACAAUCUAGCUUCGUUAGCUUUGGAUAGCUAGUCUGUAACGUUAUGCCCACGUUGUUCUAAUUUACAGCUUUUUAAUCAUUUAAACUUCCUUUUUGGUGAACAUUUCCUCUGAAAUGUGUGACUUGUGUGAGGAAUUUAGUUCAGUAACUUACGCAUCUUGAUAUUAGUUUAAGGUCGACACGAGAGCGUCGUGUCAAAAGCAAACAUCCAGCUCAUUUUUUUUUAUAAAUACCACUAAUGUUCAGUGACGGAACUUAGUUUUAAUAGUCUUUUAGACGAGAAUGUUGUUGUUAAGAACUCAAAUACGUGAUUUAUAUAUAAACAUAACGCCUCUUUGAGAUUUUGUUAAGACGCUGUCGGAGGUGUGAGCUUCAGGCUGUCAGCGGUCGUGUCUCCGUGGAGAGCAGCUCUAUCUCGGCCAUUGCUUCGGGAAUAGCCGCUGGCUCUUAUAAAGUUGCAGAAUAACAGCUAAUAUUAAUGGAUCAUUCUAUUCAAGAGAAUGUCAACUGGAACUUGGAUGUUUUCAUAACAGGCUUAAAGAUGAACAAAUUGAUAAAGAAACCCUCCUGCUGGACAUCCACUUCCAAAAGUGCACACCACACUGUUGUCUACAACUCCCAGGAAAAGAAUCCUCUUCAGUAAGACUGCUCAGUGGAUAUUUUAGGUUAAGCAGUGCUGAAACCGAAAGAACUAACACUAUUUAAAAUGUUUUGUGAGUUUAUAUGAAGAGGAAAGUUACGGUGUCCCUUUUUCACAUCCAUAACGCUUGUUUAUUUCUUUUUUUAUAGAAAACUUGUGCAUAGACUUAUAUUUUAACAUAUAAAUGCGGUUCUAUUAACAAGGGUUUAGUAAAAUACUUUUUAUAGUGUUUUGAAGUGUUAAGUUGUCUAACUAUUUAUAUUUACUUGUGCCACUUUAAUAACCUUGUUAAAUGUAUAUGUUAAAAUCUAAACUAAUGUAAUUUAUUGAAAUUAAUUUUCUUUAAAUAUGUAUAAACAUACAUUUCAUCAAAG